UCCAGGUGUCUAAACUACGAACCUAACUGCUGGCAGCCAGCACCGCGUUUGUCAUCUCCUCCAGGAGCGGAAACAGGGUUAUCUGUGGGUCACAUGUGGUGGAUGUUGGUCAGAGGUGUCGAGAAUGAGGGGGAACGAUGUCCAGGGAACAACCCUGUAAAGCCGAGCCUGAUGUGUAUUUCUAAAGACCCAGAGGAGAACUGGAGUGCCCAGACUGCCGCUCAAGACUGGUCUCCAGCUCCCGCUGGCUGGUGCUCUCUGAAGUUGGCUACUGUGCAGAAAUGCACAACACAAUAAGCCAAGAAAUCAAUAAAGUUGGAUGGUUUCCUUAAAA